CCCCGGAGAGCGCCCCGCCGGCCCGACCCGGCGCCCGCCCGGCCGGGCAGAGCCUGCGGGCGCGGGCACCGUGCGCCGGGGUCGGGCACCCUGGAGAGAGCCGCGGCCGCCACCGCGCCUCCCAGUGCUAAGCACGUAGGGCUCGGAUCGGCGCCGAGGCAAGGCCACGGGAAGCCGGGCGCGCACGCCGGGCAGAGUUUUAAAGCUUUGAAAAGUGACAGCAUAGGGAAGAAAAGAUGAGAAAAUAGAGGAGGAAAUCUAAUGCAAAUGCCUGGCAUUCUUCAAGCAGCUUCUGGGUAGGGGAGAGAAAGAAGACAAUGAAAACAUGAAAACAUGUUGUUUGAAAAUUUUGAACAGCAUUCUGGUUUAUGAAAACUGAAAUAAAAAUCAAAACUUCCAUAAAA